rnacentral:tmRNA from 1 species
GGGGCUGACAAAGCUUAGACGGAUUGUUAACAGAUUUGAUGCGUGUCGAUUAAAUACCGUAAGUAUUGAAUAAGUGCUAAAAACACUGAAACUGCGCAUGUAGCUUACAUGCCAGCUUAUGCUUAAGAUAAUUUAAGCUGGUCUUUGUGUAAGGUCCCGUAGCAUAAAGAUUAUCAUACAACGGAAAUAAGGCUAUUUGAGCGGCGAAAAAUAGCUCGAAAAUCAGCCACGGCGCUAGGAAGUUUCGUUUUCUGCAGCUUUCUAGAUUUUGCCAAGACAAAACAGAAAACUAUGCACGUAGAUUCAGAUCCCCGUGAUGGUUCGGACCCGGAGGCAGUAUCCGGCAGCUCCACCA